CUGUCAAAGCAGUCGGAUACUUCUUGUAUAACCACUCUCGACCCUUUGUAGUUUUCUUUCUCUGAUCAAACUUGAUAGGUAUGGGUGCAGCAACCUGCAUUGACAUCAUCCUCGCCAUACUCUUACCACCUCUUGGUGUCUUCCUUAGGUUUGGCUGUCAUGUAAGUUUUUCUCUUUCGCGUCCGUUAUUUUAUAGAUGUUGUACGUCAUACAAACACAUAUUACAUACUAAAAUUGUUUGACUGUGGAUAGCCCAUCAUACAAACACGUCUCGCAUAGUAACACUGCUUGAAUCAUCAUAGUUGUGGAAUUCAUAGAUGUAAUGUUCAUCGAUGCCCUAAUAUGUGUAUGGUCUGUGUUUAUGUGUGUCUUGAAACAGAAUUUUCAUGCAGUUAUUUUUAUGAGGAAUUUUGAUGUUUACAUGUGGUGGUUUUGAUGAUUUGCAGUCGGAGUUUUGGAUCUGUUUGCUGCUGACUGUGCUUGGUUACAUCCCUGGUAUUUUAUAUGCCCUCUAUAUCAUCACCAAGUGAUCCUUUCAAUUUGUGUAAUGUAAGCACCAACUUCUCUAUCAAUCAAUAUUUCUUGUUUUAAUUUUAUUUAUUUAUUUAUUUAUUAUUAUUAUUAUAGUGAAGGUGUGAUAUUAAUUGAUGAUCGAAUGAAUACGUAAAAAGAGGGUAAAGUGCUUUAAAAUGGGGCCUUGAAAUUUUUGUUUUUUCAUCGGGCUUGUUUUGAUUUGGAUAUUUCAUUCAUCCGAAUAUCUUAAUCUUUUGAGAAAAUUAGAGCAGACUUUGGCUCAAUUAGAGCUUUGGUAUUUGAAGUAAAAAUCUGCAAGUUUAGGUUCCUGAAUUUCUUAUAAUGUGGAGCAAUGGUUUUUUUUUUCUAACUCUAUUAGAACUUUUAUCCAAAAUAAAGGGUUUAAAGACGCAAAAAAUGUGUGGAGGUUCUAACGGAUUUAGCCAAUAUGACUGUUGCUCCACAUUAUUACAAAUUCAGAUUUUAACACCAACGAAUUUUUAGUUUAUGAAUCAAAGUUCUAGUUAAGUUAAAAUUAAGAGAUUAUUACUCUAAUUAUCUCUAAUAUUUUUAAAGGAAUAAAACUUCGUCAUUAAGCAAAUAUGCCUUUCCUUGGUUUAUCAACCCUACUAUCAUAUAGUUCGACAGAGAAAAUGAUUUGGGUCUAAUUGAAAAUGACCUGCACUAAUUUAUAUAUCGCCAUCCACCAAUACUUACGUGGUAUAUCUAUGCUUUAACAAAGCAGGAUUGGUGACUCGUAUUGCAUUCUGAUCCUUUUAAUGUUUUUUAUUGGACAGGUAGUUAAAGGGUGUGUGUGAAGGGCAGCUAUGUCUUUUUGUUUAUGUAUCAAGGGUUUGUUUUCAACCGUUUAAUGGAUUGGUCUUAAUCUGGUGUAGCCAAAUGGAUGGUUGAUCUCAUUCAUGUAGCGUGUAUUUAGUGCAAACGUUCAUUGUUUUUUCCUUUUAUUUUGAUUUGAAUAAAAGACUCAGAUUUGACUAUUCCCAGCACUUACUCAACGCAUUUGUUCUAAGUAAAUUAAAAAAUAUAUAUAUUUGUCAAAAAAAAAAUAUUUAUAUAAAAAAUUAAAUAAAAAAUAUUUUUACCAAAAAAAUUAUAAAAAAAAACUUUGCGUGAUGCAGUUUCUGUUGUCGCGCAGAGUCCUUUUGAGGACUCAGGUGUUGUCAUCAUCGCGCAAAGGCCUUGUGUGCAACGUAUGUUAUCCCUUUGUCGCGCAAACCUUGUUUUCACGGAUUUUGCGCGACAGUUUGCAUGUAAUGAAGAUGUCGACUAAUUUUUAAGCAACGUUUUUUGACUUUGCGCGACGAAGGUACCUGUGUCGCAUAAACUAUUUUUUGUACUGGUAACGUCAUCCCUCACAUCUUCCGCCUAAUCCUUGCCAUCCCAUCCCUCGAGCGACGGUGUUGACUACGUUUUGUGAGUGGGUGGUCUUGAGGUUUUCUCGGUGGAGGACGACAGUCUCGUCGUGGGACUAGCAGAGAGGAAGGAGGCGGUGAGAUGAAGGUGGGGUUGGGUUCGGAUGGGUUUACUGGGAUUGGGUUAGCCUGGGUUGUCGGGUUUGUGGUGGAGGAGGAGGCUACAAGAGAGAGGGAGGGUUGAAGAGAGGAAGGCUACGGGAGAGAAAGGGUAGAUAGUGAAAUUAAUGAAAAAAAAAGAGGUAUUGUUGUCCAAAAAGUUAUAAUUUUGUGUUCCAUGAGCUAGAACAAGUCGUUGGGAGGGUGGCACAAAAAUUUGACUAAAAGCCUUUCCAUGGGACCGUGCAUCCCAGACAAAUUGGCGCACGGUGGGACGAGUGUAUCUCAUCCUACUGCGUUCCGUCUCAUCUCACGUACUAAACGGCACUUUAAUGCUCUAAAUUAAUGUAUUGAAACGCAUCGGUAACUAUAAACUCGUUUUUGUGUGAGUCUCUAGUUUGGAUCAUAACGGGCGAUGACAUGAGUUUGAGAGUUGCAAAAUAUCAAACAAUAGUUACAAUACCAUAGCAGAGCUUGUCAUGGGUUUCUCAUUUUAUCCUUUCAUAAAAUACUAUACUUUUCCAAACUAUAAACGCAUCCGUAAUUCGAAUGUGAAAAUUCAAAGAAUUCCUUAAUUAAAAAAAUUAAGAAACUUUGCAAUGACAUAAUUAUUCGGAUCAAUCUUGCUGUUGCAAAGGCAUUUUAGAACUAAAUUUCAAUUCUUUCAACGGUAUAAAUAAGUAGAGAUUGACAACUUGGAUAAUAAGAGAAGAGAAUUGCAUAAUUAUGAAUAGAAAUGCUUAGGAGACUCUCUUAAAGAUGAAAUUUUUCAUAGACUUUGUGACAGCUUAUGUUUUUUUAAUACAAUAUUUUUAAUGUUAACAUGAAAAUUAACAUUAAACUAUGAGAUGAUAUAAAAUUCAAAAAAAAAUCCCACUUUCAAUAGUUUUCCAUUGCAUUUCUCUAAAAGUCAGAACUAUCUAUCUUUAGAUUGAAGGAACCUCUCAAAAAGAUAUUUUACCAUGCAUCGUGGAGGGUCCUUAUCAAGAACAAAGUUAAAAAACAUGUCGGCACGCUCAAAUUACGCAAGGCACAAGAAGCACAUUGGAAACUAACACGUGUCACGAUUAGUGGCGAAGCUACGUGGGCGAGGAGUGGCGGCCGCCCCUCCCUCGCUGGAAAUCAAGCCUAGGAACGGUGGUUUCGUCCCUCCGGUCUUGUCGAAAGUGAUGAAAUUUCAUGUGAUUUUUCAGGCCUUUUGGGUUUCCCUGCUCUAUGGCAGCACAUGAUGAUCGUGAGCUCUCUUUUUUUUUCCAAAAAAGAAAAUACAUUUAGGCCAAAGAAAGGAGGAAUGAAAAGCUGUAGUUUGCAGCUUCUAGAAAUAGAGAGGUUCUGGACGAAAAAGAAGAGAAAGGAAGAAGAGAGAGACUUUCUCUCUCCCAUCCCACCCCACGUGCCCUUUCAUAAUUACAAUUUGUUUUUUUUUUAACUAUUGACCAAAUUUGUUUUGUUUUUUAAUUAUUAUCCAAUUAAUUUUAAGAAAAAACUAAUGAAAAGAGCUUGAAAACUUUGAGUUUUAAUGAUAAAGACAAAAUAAAGGGUAAAGUGAAUAGUACCAGAAUUGACUUUUUAGUGUAAAAAUAUGGUUUUUCGUUAAAGUAAACAGUACCGGGUGUUUUUUGUUAAAGUUCCCUUAAUUUUAUCACUCUUCCAAUAUUUUUUAAAUCACUUCUUUGACAUUGUUAUUUAUCUUAAAAUUCACUAUAAAUUUAUACCAGCUUCAAAAAAUAAUUUGUAAAAUACUACGAACUCGUAGUUAUUUGUUUUUUUUUUCUCUUACCAUCAAAUUCAACAAAGUAAUAAAGAAAAUUUGUCAAGAUUUUUAUAUUAUAUGUUUUAUAAUCAAUGUUUUUCGAAUAUUAUAUGGUAUAUAAUAAAUAGACAAUUAUUUAUACUGUAUAUAAUAACUUUAUUCAAAUUUGUCUAGGUCCUUGCCUAAGUGUAAAGUCAUGUCCACCGUACGACUAGAAUUGAGCAUCUUUUAAAACUUUGUUAAUUAUAUAGUUAAGUAAUAGGACGAUACAACAAGAAACAGUGCUAAAUCAUCCUUCAAAUAAUAUUGUUUUUCAAACCCUCCUUCGACUAUUUUGAGUAGUCCAAGUCCUCUUUUGAAUAUUUCGGUUAGUGCAAAUUCUCCUAUGAAUAUUACGGGUAAUUCAAAUAAUCUUCUUGGAAAUCCUGGACUUAGACCUUGAAUGAAUGUUCACAUUUUUUCAGGACUCUAAACUUUUUAAAUUUCGUCCCUUCUCAUAAGAAUUUCUAGCUUCGCCAGUGGUCACAAUCACCAAUUUAUGGGGCCACGGGUCAGCUGUCUCCAAAUGUAUGUCUCAUUUGUGUUUCCUCUCUAUCUUUUUGACAUGUGUACAACUCCUUAACUUAAAAUUAACAUUGUUAACUUUUAUCAAAUUAAAAAAAAAACAAUAAAAAGAGAUAACAAAGGACCUAGCAGAUGUCGAAGUCCACGCAAGAUAACUCCCGCGCAGCCGUCACCGGCGGUAACCCCACUCGGGCCACUCCUACUCAUUGCCGCCAAAGCCUCCCCUCGAAUCCUCCCUCUCUCUCUCUCUCUCUUGCUCCAGGAUUCAGAUAUCCAUCUUCCCCAUUCAAUAUCCACAACCAAAUCAAACUUCUGUACGCAUAUUUUUCUAGGUCGAAUCUAUUGAUAAUUUGUCAUAAGAAUAAUAUCUCAGAUUGGGGAAGAAUCUGGGUUUUGUUGAAAAUCCCAAUAGAAUAUCUUCUGUGAAAAUUUUAAAAAAUCUUGAAAAUAAUUAAAGAAAUUGGGGAUGGUAGGCUAUAAUGGUUAUAUAUGAAAGUGAACCCACCGAGUGGGGAAAGGAAACUCCAAAAAUAAAAAUAAUAAUCAGUGGAGUGGGUUCACCGGAGAGAGAAAGAGUAAAAGAGUCUUCGCCGGCAGUGAGGGGAAGCGUCGCCGACGACUAUGGGGUGGUGUGGUUCUGUGUGUGACCAUCGGGCUAAGUUUGGCUGCUGUUGGCUUUUGGUUUUCUUUAAUUAUCAGUUUUUAUUUUUUAUUUUUAAUUCUUCUUUUAAAAGGUUAACACUGUUAAGUUUAGGGUUAAGUUGAUGACAGAUGUCAAAAAUUAAAAAAUGAGACACAUAAAUAUGGAGACAGCACAACUGUGGCCCAUUUAUGGAAAGGCAUAAUCCGUUUUCUAAUAAAAUUGUUUACGUGUACCCAGUGGUUAGCCUCCACGUGGCUCCUUCAGCAGCAGAAGUUGCAGCUCUAUAUAACCACCCUCUACUCCUUGCAGUUUCUGUCAAAGCAGUCCGAUACUUCUUGUUGUUUAACCACUCUCUACCCUUUGUUGUUUUCUUUCUCUGAUCAAACUUGAUAAGUAUGGGUACAGCAACCUGCAUCGACAUCAUCAUCGCCAUCCUCUUGCCACCUCUUGGUGUCUUCCUCAGGUUUGGCUGUCAUGUAAGUUUUUCUCUUUCGCGUCCGUUAUUUUAUAUAUGUUGUCUGUCAUACAAACACGUAUUACAUACUAAAAUUGCUUGACUGUGGAAAGUCCAUCAUACGAACACGUCUCACAUACUAACACUGCUUGAAUAAUCAUAGUAGUGGAAUUCAUAGAUGUAAAGUUCAUCGUUUCCCUAAUUUGUGUAUGGUCUGUGUUUUUGUGUCUUGAAACAGAAUUUUCGUGCAGUUGUUUUUAUGAGGAAUUUUGAUGUUUAUAUGUGGUGGUUUUGAUGAUUUGCAGUCGGAAUUUUGGAUCUGUUUGGUGCUGACUCUGUUCGGUUACCUCCCUGGUAUUAUAUAUGCCAUCUAUGCCAUCACCAAGUGAUCCUUUCAAUUUGUGUAAGCACCAACUUCUCUAAAUCAAUAUUCAUUGAUCAUCGAAGGAAUAAAAUUAGAAGAUUAUUGCUCUAUAAUUAUCUCUAAUAUUUUUAUGAAGGAAUAAAACUUCCUCAUUAAGCAAAUAUACCUUUCUUUGGUUUAUCAACCCGGACUGGGAUCACCUCCGGAUCCCAACCUUCAGAGCAAAUUGAGCAAAACAUCCCAUCCUCCAAUUUUUUAUCUUGUGGUCAGAAAUAAAUUUAAAUAUUGAAAAAUUAUCACGCAAAACAAGGUAAGAUGAAAAUAGAAGGAUGAUUUGUUUUGCUCAUGUCGCUCCGAAGGCUGGGAUCCGGAGAUGAUCCCAAUCCUCCUAUCAACCCUACUAUGAUUUGGGUCUACUUGAAAAUGACCUGCACUAAUUUAUAUGUUGUCAUCCACCAAUAAUUAUGUGGUAUAUGCUUUAACAAAGAAGGAUUAGCGACUCGUACUACAUUCUGAUCCUUUUAAUGUUUUUUAUUGGACAGGUAGGUAAAGGAUGUGUGUGGAGGGCGUCUACGUCUUUUUGUUUAUGUAUCAAGGGUUUGUUUUCAACCGUUUGAUGGAUUGGUCUUAUCUGGUGUAGCCAAAUGGAUGGUUGAUCUCAUUCAUGUAGCGUGUAUUUGGUGCAAUUGUUCCUUGUUUUUUACUCUCAUUUUGAUUUGAAUAAAAUGACUCAGAUUUGUCCCAGCA
rnacentral:lncRNA from 1 species